rnacentral:rRNA from 1 species
AACGAACGCUGGCGGCAUGCUUAACACAUGCAAGUCGAACGAGACCUUCGGGUCUAGUGGCGCACGGGUGCGUAACGCGUGGGAACCUGCCUUUAGGUUCGGAAUAACUCAGAGAAAUUUGAGCUAAUACCGGAUAAUGUCUUCGGACCAAAGAUUUAUCGCCUUUAGAUGGGCCCGCGUAAGAUUAGCUAGUUGGUGGGGUAAAGGCCUACCAAGGCGACGAUCUUUAGCUGGUCUGAGAGGAUGAUCAGCCACACUGGGACUGAGACACGGCCCAGACUCCUACGGAGGCAGCAGUGGGGAAUAUUGGACAAUGGCGAAAGCCUGAUCCAGCAAUGCCGCGUGAGUGAUGAAGGCCUUAGGGUUGUAAAGCUCUUUUACCCGAGAUGAUAAUGACAGUAUCGGGAGAAUAAGCUCCGGCUAACUUCGUGCCAGCAGCCGCGGUAAU